AAAUAACUAGUGUGGUUCUGCAGGGUUCGAAGCUUGCCAGAUUGCCAGAACCGGAUAGUGUGAUAGAAGUCCUGUUAAUCAAUUCUCCUCAAGGUGCAAUAUAUGGUUGUGGCGACUUGAUCUUUUCAUCACACAUGAUCUUCACCCUGGUCUUCGUCAUCACCUACCAAAAAUACGGCACACGACGGUAAAACAUUUUGGUUGGUUGGUAGCUAUAAUUCAGAGUUUCUUCAUUGUAGCGUCCCGGAAACAUUACACGGUUGACGUAGUCGUCGCAUGGUAUACUGUUAAUUUAGUGGUGUUCUUCAUAGACAAGAAAUUGCCAG